ensembl:lncRNA uncharacterized LOC114768366
CACUUCACAGACUUUCUCUUCCUUCCUGAACAGUUGUGGACUCGCUGCUGGUAAUAAUCAGCAGACAGAAACUCGACUCUGUUAUCUGCUCUGCUGUUCUUGGAUGAUGAUGAUGAUGGUACUGGGGAUAAAUUAUAUGAAAAGCGUUGUUGGUGUUUUGAUGCUGAUCACAGGAAGGUCCCAUGGUCUGAUGUUUACUUGCGACGCAAGACAAAAUACUACAUGUUAUGCCGCCCUGGGACACCCGGUCUAUCUGCAGCUGAUAAAUGUUGAACAACCCCAGCUGAGUUUUACAGCAGGGACUCAAAAAAUAUUCAACAUAAAGAAAAAUAUAAUCACACGUCAGAAUCUCCCUCCAAAUUGGCAGUUUAUCAUUAGUAACUGGACCGUGAUUAUUAACCCUGCGGAGAGGAAAGAUACAGGAACAUACAGUACUGAGAUCUAUGAUGAAGGAGGGUCACUGGUGGGGACAAACUGGUUACAUCUUUUUAUUGAAGCUCCUGUAUCCUCUGUGACUCUGAACAUCACCUGCUUACCCUCUGAGAGGAGGGUGACCUGUUCCUCCAGUGGGGACAGUCCUCAGUACAGCUGGACCCUGGAUGGGACACCACUGGGUGAAGGUGGAACUGAUGUCAUAUUGAAGGAGGAAGCGACAGGAGCUCUAACCUGCACUGUCACCAAUAACGUCAGCAGCGUCAACAAAACUCAAGACCUGAAUCCAUGUAGAAGAACUACAACCCCUCUGUCUACCAGUCCACCUCAAACAGGUACAAACUCAAGCCUUCACUCAAACUGCACAACAGAGACAUUGAAUAGUGACACAACAGGGACAACAGAGACACAUUGGCUUCAUUUCCUUUGGCCUACAGCAGUGGUACUGGGAGUCAUCCUGUUAUGUCUGUCAGUCACAAUAGGGGUGUUCUACAUCUCAAAGAGGAAGAAGGUUAAAGAAACAACAGGAAAUACAUCCGGAGACCCCAAUGAUGUGAUCUAUACCCAGGUCAACAUUAAUAACCAAAGAAAAAAGAUCAACAUUCCAGAUGUAGAGCUGGAGUAUGCUGAGGUGUCCUUCAACAGGAAGCCACAGCAGAGGAAGGUGUACAAGGAAGAGAAGGUGGAAUACGGGGAGCUGUCAUUUUCGGCAACUUCCCAAAAGAACAUUCAGGCACCUGCGGAGCAGAUGGACUGUGUGUAUUCCACUGUUCGUCUUAGUUGAGCAAACAGCAUCUUCACACCUUUGUUCUUAUGCGCAAUAUUGAGUGUGAAUCCAGAUAUUUAUUAUCUUGUCAAGGACAAACUGUACAGUUUCACAGAUAAAAGCCCUAAAAUGUUGAUGUUUUAACUUAAAAAGUUCAAGGAACAGGAUUCCAAUGGACAGUGGACAAUCCCACUUACUACCAUUGUGUCCCUGAGCAAGACACUUAACCCUGUGUGUCUCCACUGGGACUGUCCCUGUAACUACUGACUGUAAGGCGCGCUGGAUUGGGGUGUCUAAUAAAUGCCUUAAAUGUAAAAACA